rnacentral:rRNA from 1 species
GACGAACGCUGGCGGCGUGCUUAACACAUGCAAGUCGAACGGAAAGGCCCUGCGUUUGUGGGGUGCUCGAGUGGCGCACGGGUGAGUAACACGUGAGUAACCUGUCCUUGUCUUUGGGAUAACUUCAGGAAACUGGGGCUCAUACCGGAUAGGAGCUCCUGCUGCAUGGUGGGGGUUGGAGAGUUUCGGCGGUUGGGGCUGGACUCGAGGCUUAUCAGCUUGUUUGGGGGGUAGUGGCUUACCAAGGCUUUGACGGGUAGCCGGCCUGCGCGGGUUACCGGCCACAUGAGGACUGAGGUACGGCCCAGACUCCUACGGGAGGCAGCAGGGGAGAAUAUUGCACAAUGGGCGGAAGCCUGAUGCAGCGACGCCGCGUGCGGGAAGACGGCCUUCGGGUUGUAAACCGCUGUCGCCUGUGACGAAGCGUGAGUGACGGUAAUGAGUAAAGAAGCACCGGCUAACUACGUG